AGGGAAUAUUGCGCAAUGGAGGGAACUCUGACGCAGCGACGCCGCGUGAGCGAUGAAGGCCUUCGGGUCGUAAAGCUCUGUCCUCAGGGAAGAAAAAUGACGGUACCUGAGAAGGAAGCCCCGGCUAACUACGUGCCAGCAGCCGCGGUAAUACGUAGGGGGCAAGCGUUGUCCGGAAUUAUUGGGCGUAAAGGGUGCGUAGGCGGCCAAAUAAGUCAGAUGUGAAAGGCCACGGCUUAACUGUGGAAUUGCAUUUGAAACUGUGUGGCUUGAGUUUCGGAGAGGGUAGUGGAAUUCCCGGAGUAGCGGUGAAAUGCGUAGAUAUCGGGAGGAACACCAGUGGCGAAGGCGACUACCUGGACGAAUACUGACGCUGAGGCACGAAAGCUAGGGGAGCAAAC
rnacentral:rRNA from 1 species